rnacentral:rRNA from 1 species
CAACCAUGGCAUUCACGGGCUAUCGGGGGAUUAGGGUUCGAUUCCGGAGAGGGAGCCUGAUAAACGGCUACCACUUCUACGGAAGGCAGCAGGCGCGAAAAUUAUCCAAUCCUGACUCAGGGAGGUAGUGAAAGAAAUAAUGAACUAGGAUUUAUCCUGGGAUCACAAUGGGCUUGAUUUGCAAACACUUUGCGAGGAACAAUUGGAGGGCAAGUCUGGUGCCAGCAGCCGCGGUAAUUCCAGCUCCAAUAGAGUAUAUAAACGUUCCUGCAGUUAUUCGAUGCUCGUAGUUGGAUUUCUGGAGUUGAGACGGGAGGGUGGCUAUGGCCAUCGCCCGACUCUUUCUUCAUCCACCCGUUUGCGAAUCCCGGGAUUGAUUUCUCGGUUUCGGGCGCAGGUAUCUUACUAUUUCAAUAUUUUGUAAUCUUCAUCGAUUAUGUAUGUUUCUUUGAGCAAAUUAUAGUGUUUCAGGCAGGCGUGCGCCGGAAUACAUUAGCAUGGUAUAAACGAAUUGGACCGUGUGCCUGUAACAGGGCUUUUCCUUAUUUGUUGGUUUGAAGGACACGGAGAUGGUUAAUAGGGACAGAAUUUAUUUCAGGGGGAGGCACUAGUAUUUAAUUUCCAGAGGUGAAAUUCUUUGAAAUAUUAAAGACUAACUUAUGCGAAAGCAUUUAUUGCCAAUGAUGUUUUCAUUAAUCAUUGAACGAAAGUUAGGGGAUC